rnacentral:rRNA from 1 species
GUCCACGCCGUAAACGAUGGGCACUAGAUGCUUGGGGGAGCGACCCUCUGAGUGUCGUCGCUAACGCAGUAAGUGCCCCGCCUGGGGAGUACGGCCGCAAGGCUGAAACUCAAAGGAAUUGACGGGGGCCCCGCACAAGCGGUGGAGCAUGUGGUUUAAUUCGACGCAACGCGAAGAACCUUACCUAGGCUUGACAUAGCCGAGAAAGCCUCCAGAAACGGAGGCCCCUCUUCGGAGUUCGGUUACAGGUGCUGCAUGGCUGUCGU